rnacentral:rRNA from 1 species
GACGGAGGGUGCAAGCGUUGUUCGGAAUUACUGGGCGUAAAGCGCGUGUAGGCGGCUAGGUAAGUCGGAUGUGAAAGCCCCGAGCUCAACUCGGGAACUGCGUCCGAAACUGCUUAGCUCGAGUCCCGGAGAGGAAGGCAGAACUCCCAGUGUAGGGGUGAAAUCCGUAGAUACUGGGAAGAAUACCAGUAGCGAAGGCGGCCUUCUGGACGGUGACUGACGCUGAGACGCGAAAGCGUGGGGAGCAAACAGG